AUGGCACAGCGUUAUGUGUGUCCGGUAGCUCUCGUUCAGGUCUCGUUGGAGGGUGUUCUUUCCACAGCUGCGGUUUUAAUAGAAGGACGCGCGCAGAGAGAGCGCACUCCGGGGUUACCGUGGAGGAGAAAUGAUCUGCGCCUUAAUUCCGGCCCGGCAAACUCGACGUCCGGCUGCACUGUUCAUACUCGCAGUGUCACAGAACUGAGACACAACAAUAGGGACCAGGUGCCCAGGCAGCAGACUGCAGGUGCAGCACUUAGCAAAGUGUGGUUUACACUGCUGGCUCUGAUUCAGCUGUGUGCACACCAAAGGGUACAGGUGAGUGUGUAUUAUGAAUGGUCUACAACAUGCAACGUUCCAUGUUUUCUUCUCACGCAGUCAAAUCACAUGUGUCUCUUUUUAACUCACAGCUGUGAUAGUAUUGUGUCUAUUGCAGAUCUUCUCCCUAACAUGUUCAGCUUGUCUAAACUUCAGUCUUCAGUGGCAUAUCUGUUGUAUACAGUGUGUUACUGAUGGGAGUCUGUGUGUCCUCCAGUCAAGCUGGAGGACACACUGAUUAAUCUAAACUGAUUUAUCAGGGAAGCAGUGAAGGAAACUGAUUUUUCUUGGCCAGAGAGGAUAGGAUUUUUUUUCUUACACAUGCUUGUGUUUACUAGUUAUUUCCAAUCAAAUGCAGCUCUUCUUAAUUUAAAAGGGAAGUAUCUUUCAUUAUGGCAGGACUCUGGCAACUUGUCCACAGGAAGAAGCAACACACCUACUUGAAGCUCCACACAGAGACUUCUUAGUUAAUCUCAGAGUGCCUGGUAAAUCAGUCCAAGUAAUGGAUUUGUGUAGCCCUG
rnacentral:lncRNA from 1 species